GGAAGACAUACGACUACUUCCUCUACGUUGUGUCAACACUUCCGUUGCCGGUCUACGAGGCCUCAGGUCUCCAUGCAAACCUAAGGAAGAGUGCUGCCCUCCCAAUCCGGUGCACACAAGAGCAAAUGACGGACGUGACGAAUGUACUGGGCUGCUCACUAGGUGGCUUCCCGAUGAGAUAUCUCGGACUGCCACUAACCAUCCGGAAGCAAUCGGCUGCGCAGUUGCAAGGCCUGGUGGAUCAUAUCGCUGCUUGCCUGCCCACUUGGUGUGCUGCGACCCUACCGAAGAGCAGUAGGUUGAUCCUCAUCCAAUCGGUCCUCUCAGCGAUGCUAGUGCAUGCAAUGUUGGCCAUGGAAUUACUGGCGAAGACAACCAAGGCGAUCAACAAGAUCUUACGAGGAUUCCUCUGGUGUGGCAAGGCGGAGGAAAACAGGGGAAACUGCGCGGUGGCCUGGAACGCAGUUUGCACGCCCAAGUAGGCUGGAGGCCUCAGGAUCCCGGACGUCGCCUGGAUGAAUGUAGCAAUGCAAGCCCGCUGGCCAUGGUUGGCGCGGGUGGAUGAUCGUUUGCUUGGAAUAUGUGUAAAACUGGGUCUCCGGUUCGAUUACGAAUCCGAGACGAAAUCACAUAUACGUGUUUCCCUGUUGUUUGGCUUGCA